UGACGGGGGGGUAAGCGUUGUUCGGAAUUACUGGGCGUAAAGGGCUCGUAGGCGGCCAACUAAGUCAUACGUGAAAUCCCUCAGCUUAACUGGGGAACUGCGUGUGAUACUGGAUGGCUUGGAUUUGGGAGAGGGAUGCGGAAUUCCAGGUGUAGCGGUGAAAUGCGUAGAUAUCUGGAGGAACACCGGUGGCGAAGGCGGCAUCCUGGACCGGGAUUGACACUGAGGCGCGAAAGCCAGGGGAGCAAACGGG
rnacentral:rRNA from 1 species